CGGCAACCCCCUAGCUUAUUUGCCGGUGGGAAGGACACUCUUAACGUGACACAUGCAGAAACCAAUAGACAGGCAGUAUUGCUGGGCUUUUCCCGCCCAUUGAUCACCUAUCAGAGGCCUUGGAAUUGAUGCUUCCGGUACCCGCUCCAGACUUCGAAUCCGCGAUAACCUUCAUCAGAAAGGAUGGAGUUGGGAAAAGGAAAGCUUCUCAGGACUGGGCUGAAUGCCUUGUAUCAAGCAGUGCACCCAGUUCACGGCCUUGUGUGGACCGAUGGGAAUCAGGUAGUCCUGACCGAUGUACAGCUUCAGAGUGGAGAGGCCAAGUUUGGGGACUCAGAGGUCAUCGGACAGUUCGAACACGUGUGUGCAGUGUCCUGGGCCCCACCCGGUGCGGCGGACACGCCCCCUCUGCUCGCUGUCCAGCACACGCAGCAUGUCACCGUGUGGCAGCUGUGCCCCAGCACGAUGGGGACCAGCAAGUGGCUGAUGUCUGAGACCUGUGAGAUUAGAGAGUCUCUCCCUGUCCUUCCCCAGGGCUGUGUGUGGCACCCUCAGAGCGCUGUCCUGACCGUGCUGACCUCACAGGAUGUCUCCGUUUUCCAUAAUGUCUGCUGUGACAGUUCCCGAGUGAAAGUGGACAGCAGCGCCCAGGGCCUUGUUCACUGUGCGUGUUGGACCCCGGACGGCCAGAGGCUGGUGGUGGCAGCGGGCAGCAGCCUGCACUCUUACAUCUGGGACAGUGCUCAGAAGACUCUCCGCAGGGGCUCCUCCAGCUCGGUGUUGGGUGUGGACAGCUCCUUGCGCUCCAUCAGCGCCGCCGGGGACUCCCAGGUCGCCGUAGCCACCGAACUUCCACUAGGUCAGAUUUGUGGCUUAAAUGCAUCUGAAGCACUCGGCGGUCCACCUCACGGUGAAGACGCUUGUGUGAUUGAUGACACAGUUGUUGAUGAUGUGCUCUCUGUGGAUAAGGGGGCCAUCCCUUCUGAAACAAAUUCGGACACAUCAGGGUCUCCCUUUUCUCCUUCUUUGUCAGGUCCUCUGGAUCUAACUCAUAUAAUUUUCAAUAGAUCGAAGUCUGAAGGUAACGCCCUAAUUUGUUUAAGAAAAAAGGACUACUUGACAGGAACCGGUCUGGAUUCUUCCCAUUUGGUCCUUGUGACUUUUGAGAAAGAGUGUACCCAGACCAGGAAAGUCCCCAUCCCAGGCAUUCUGGCUCCUGACCUAAUCGCAUUUAAUCUUAAAGCACAGGUUGUGGCGGUGGCUUCCAAUACGUGUAAUGUAAUUUUUAUCUAUGCUGUCAUUCCCUCGUUUAUGCCAAACAUCCAGCAAAUUCAGUUAGACGGUAGUGAAAGGCCAAAAGGCUUAUAUUUCUUGACAGAGAAAUUAUUAUUAAUUUUGGUAGGAAAACAAAAACCCGCCGAUUCGACAUUCCUCCCUCCUUCAAAGUCUGAUGAGUAUGUUAUUCGCUUGGUUGUUAGAGAAGUAAUGUUGGAAGAGAAACUUCCAGUAACACUGAGUGAAAACCAGAGUGGCUACUCGACUUUCAGUACUCUAUUAGAUAAAGCAGAGAAAAAAAAGCUAAUGGAAGGUCUUUCCCCAGAUACUCACCACCCAAACAGAGGGCUCUCAUUAACAGCUGACAGCAGGAGUCCACGUGGAAGGCCCGGAAGUGCCCUUAUUGAAGAAAUCAGAAGUCCUCCAUCCAGUGUCGGCGAUGGCUCCGUCGCCCUGGGAACUCCAGACACCCAGCCUGCCGGCCAGUUCGUGACCCUGCCCAGACCCCGCAGCACACCAGACCACACCAGCACCCCAGCGCCUCUGAAUUUUCCUCAAAGAAAGACCCAACAGCGGGAAGAGGAAACUUACCAGCCGUCUAAGGAACUGGAAAUUCUAUCUAGGAAACUGGUUGAAGUACAGCAGUGUCUUUCUGAACUCACAGACUUCCUGCGUAAUGGAAAGAAAUACUCUCCAGUGUAUCCACUCUCUCGGGAUCUGCCUUAUGUCCACAUCUCCUACCAGAAACCUUACUCUGUAGGUCCUGUUGUUGAAACAAGAGACAUGCUUCUCUGCAAUGGCAAGCUAAGGCUCAGCACCAUUCAGCAGACUUUUGGCCUCUCUCUUAUCGAGAUGCUGCACGGCUCCCGCUGGAUCCUCGUCAGUGCCGACAGCGAGGGCUUCAUCCCGUUGACCUUCACAGCCGCACAGGAGAUAAUCAUACGCGAUGGCGGCUCCAGGUCAAACAUCUUCAGAGACUCUCUGUCUCAGAGUCUUGAUUCUGGUCCUUGUCUUGGCGUCUGUAGGGACCUUCGAGCCCAAAGUUUAGAUACCACUGGCUAUUCUGACCGCUUGGGCAGUACGGCCUGACCCUUGUUUACAGAGUAUUCGCUGUGCAGCUUCUCAGAUGAGACUGUUGAAGACCUGUGUCCACUGUGGACCUGCCCUGGCCAGAGUCUGCGCCCUGCUCUGUGGUGAAGCGCUCGCCCUGGUGGGCUGGUCCCCCUCCCCCAGGCUCCCUGUGGCAGGGCAGGGGGCUCACAAAGUGCUCGUUUACUAUGUAUUCACAACUAGUUUUGUCCGGAGGCAGAGCUCCCAGAACUAGACAGUAUGAUGGUGCCAUAUGGACUGUGUUUUAUGGUUUCUCAGAGGCUUUCUGUCUCGCCCAAAGCUGGCUUGGAGCCAUCUCGGGAGCACCAAAAGGUGCCUCUGCGUUGUUGCAGACCUUUCCCAUGGCUCUCAGGUGAGGGCGAGGGAUGCUGGAGAGCAGAGUCCCCACCACGUGGUCCGCUUCACCUGGACCAGCAGGAGUCGCCAGAGCUCCAAGGGAGAUGCGCAGCUCACCCACGUCGCCCCUGGGGCUCCUUGGGACUGGAACUGGUGCUGUUGGCUGGAGCUCCCACAGUUUAAACCGAGCCUUCUUCCUUCUUCAGAAAAUUCUGGCCAACCAAGGUCCAGAUACUGGUAAAAAGUGGCCCCGGGCGAGUUUCGAGUGACCUGUCAAGCCCCACUCGAGCAGGGGCUGAAGUUGCUGGUGCGGUGCCGAGAAGGGGGGGGGCGUCUAAGGUGUGAUUCUGUGUUCUUGCUGCUUCCGAUUUUCUCCAUGAGGAUUUUUUUUCCUCCCAGUUUUGGCAUUAUAAAAAUAUCCUAUUUUCCCCCUCAUAAUCAGUUCUUAAGUUGUCACUUUAAUUUUGGUAUUUUUCUUUCAUUCCAGUCUUAGACACCAGCAUAGAGUCUGUGAGAGAAAGUAUUUCAGACAGUCGGACAUUUCACUGCAUCUGAGUUGUCCCAGUUUCCCCGCCUUUGCCCUCUGCCCAGCCCACCCUGCUGUGAGUGUUUGAUGCUGUCUCCUGUGUGGUGAUUGCUGGUCUACAGCAAUGCCCUUGAUUUUAUGUACGUGUGUGUCGUCUCUGUAUUUCUUCUUCCCAUGGAUGCGUCACUGGGAAGGGAUUAGCUGGAGUGGGUCUGCCUUGGGCCGGCUGGUCGGGUGUGGGUGCCUGACUUUGUGCAGGACAGAUUUCACAGCAAGAGUCCAGGUGAUUUCGGGAGGACGUUUACUGAAGCUGGGACAGUGAAACGAAAGAAGGGCCGUCCCAGGAGAGAGCCCGGGCAGUGCUCUGCUUUGGCGCUCUAGAAACGUUACAGGGAAGACUCCAGCCGCACUGGGCUGCCAGGACUCAGGAGAAAAAGUCACAGUGGCUCCCUAGCUGCCACUGUGCAUUGUUCCCUUGGGUGCAGGUCUCACUAGGACAGGAGAAGCAAAGUACACACCCGAGGAAAGGACACGCUCUUUCUCUCUGUGCAGCUCACUCCUCCCAGAGUUCAGUCCUGCAAACUGUAGCCAUGUUGGUCUCCAAACUCAACCCAGGGAGCCCUCUGAGCUCCGAAUAUUCUCUCCCCCUCACCCAGGAACGGUCAAGGCGAUGGCGAGGGCAGUCAUGAGAUCCACCUCGUCCGUGUCCCCUCUUUCCGGUCACUCCUUCACUGCCCGAUGCCCAGGGUCUCGACUGGUUUUUUCGUGUAUUUUGUCCAGUUUUUCUUACUGCUUCAGCCAAGGGGCUAGAUCUGGUCUCUGCUACUUCAGCAUGUCCAAGAGCAGAGGUCUUUCCGCAUCUCGUUUAUGUCUAGAUGCUUUGUAUUUUUUGUUGCUACUGUUAACGGUAUGUUUUAAAAAUUAUGUUUAUAACCAUUGCUGGCAUAUUAAAAUACAGUUUAUUUUUGUUCAUUUUACAUCAGCUACCUUGCUGUGCUCUUAUUAAUUCUAACGAUUUAUCUGGAGGUUCUUUUGGAAUGUCUGUAGGCAGUCAUCACUUACAAAUAACGACAACUUUGUUUUUCUUCUUCCUUAUGCUAUUAUCUUACUGUGCUGGCUAGAUCCCCGAUAAAGUAUUGAACAGAAGCAGUGAUAGUGGGGAUCCUUCCUAUAUCCCUGACUGUAAAGGGGCUGCUUCACCAUUAAGAAUGAUGCUUGCUAAUAGAUUUUUAGUAGACAUCCUUUCUCAGGUUUAAAAUUUGCUAUUCUACAAGUACCUUUAUUAUUGAAUGGAUAUUAGAUUUUUAUCAUAUUAUUCUUUCUGUAUGAAGAUUAUACUUUUUUUUCUCUUUUACUCUGUCAACGUGGUAAAUCUUGAUAGAUUUUUCUGAUGUUAAACCUUGCAUUCUUGGAGUAAAUCCACUGUGUUCGUGGUGUAUUUGUUUUUUAGACAUUGUUAGACUGGUUCACUGAUACUUUGUUUAGGAUUCUUGCUUUUAUGUUCAUGAGUGAGAUCAGCCUGUGAAUUUCCUUUCCUUUUUACUGUACUUGAUUGGUUUUGGUAUCAAGCUUAUUCUGGCCUGAUAUAAGG